rnacentral:rRNA from 1 species
UAUAGGAGGUCCAGCCUGCCCAGUGACUAUAAGUUCAACGGCCGCGGUAUUUUGACCGUGCAAAGGUAGCGCAAUCACUUGUCUUUUAAAUGAAGACCUGUAUGAAUGGCUAAACGAGGGCUUAACUGUCUUCCUCCCUCAGUCAGUGAAAUUGACCUGCCCGUGCAGAGGCGGACAUAAUUAUACAAGACGAGAAGACCCUUUGGAGCUUAAGGUAUAAGAGUUAACCACGUUAUACGACUAAAUAAGAAGCGAGAACCUUGUGGAUCUGAAAUUUUACCUUCGGUUGGGGCGACCACGGAGUAGAAUAAAACCUCCGAGUGGACUGGGGAAAUUCCUAGAACCAAGAGAGACAUCUCUAAGCCACAGAACAUCUGACCAAUAAUGAUCCGGACUAUAGUACCGAUCAACGAACCAAGUUACCCUAGGGAUAACAGCGCAAUCCUCUCCAAGAGCCCAUAUCGACGAGAGGGUUUACGACCUCGAUGUUGGAUCAGGACAUCCUAGUGGUGCAGCCGCUAUUAAGGGUUCGUUUGUUCAACGAUUAAAGUCCUACGUGA